rnacentral:rRNA from 1 species
GACGUAGGGCGCGAGCGUUGUCCGGAUUUAUUGGGCGUAAAGAGCUCGUAGGCGGCUUGUUGCGUCGUCCGUGAAAACCUGUGGCUCAACCACAGGCUUGCGGUCGAUACGGGCGGGCUGGAGUUCGGUAGGGGAGACUGGAAUUCCCGGUGUAGCGGUGAAAUGCGCAGAUAUCAGGAGGAACACCGGUGGCGAAGGCGGGUCUCUGGGCCGAUACUGACGCUGAGGAGCGAAAGCGUGGGGAGCGAACAGG